UGUGUCUGAACCUGUAAAUGACUCUUCCCUGCUGGUUAACGAAUCUCCUUUCAGCUGGAGGUUCUUCGGAAGACAAGGAGACUCCGUGGAGAGCCUGGGGUUAUGAACCAUCCAUCCAUGGAACCAGGAGUCCAGACGAAGGUGAGAAGUGGAUCAGAAGCUGGAGGAACAUGCAGGCAGCACGAGAGGCAUUGGGAGGGGAGUAGGGCUGGCAGCUCUGCACACCCUGUCUCCUGGAGACUCUUAAGACCCAGAGCACGAAAGUGAUUUUUUGAGGCCGUUCUGAGGGUCAGCAGCAGAGCUGGAAUCAGAAGCCAGGACUCCAGGCUCCCAGUCCAGGGCUGUGUUCACAGGAGGCUCUCCCUGGGCACUCUUCUGAGCAAUUUCACCAUGUCUGCAGAGCGUCAUGGAGGUGGUACACUGUAGGGGCGUUCCUGCCUCACCAGUUUUUGAGCUCUGCCCCCAGCCUCUGCUGAGAUGCACGGAUUCACUGAGGAUGAAUGUUACCUGUCCCCAAGAUGAACUCCAGGACCACGUAGUGGGGGUCUGACCUUCCUCCGGAGAGAUAUGUCUGCUUAGAGUAUGUUUCCCCACUUUUAGCCUCUGCUACCUUAAACGUGUUUUAUACCACAUGUUCCACUCCUCAGCCACAGGUAAUUCAACCAGAAAUAGAUGCCCAAGGCCUGCCAAUGUAUUGGUUGGAUGCAGCCAUUCAGUUUUUCUCUUGUAAGAGUUUGAAAUAAAAAAACACAGACUCUGUAGCCAUUUAGUUGCAGGGAGUUAACCUAAGCCUUCCCAUUCAAUAAGGAGUUUAGUUAGAGCCAUCUGAUAAAACCAUAAGCAAGCCAAAAUUAUGCACAGGGAGAAAUGCAGACAAGAGACACUGUGGCCCAAGAAGAGGGAGAACUACAAGUCUGGUACUUUAUUUACUGGAAAUCUCGUUGUCCUUAUAUACCUGUCCCUAAAUCCCCUUUUUAUAUGUGAUUGGGUUUCUGCCCUUGUGACCAAAAGCACUUUGCCCAGAAGUGAGCAUUUUAGCACAAAAGUCCCCAAACAAGCCCAAGUCAACUAAGUUUGGACAACAAUUGCUAACAGGCCCUCUCUAUCAAGGCAGAGAUGGGACUUUUGGGAUUGGAAAGUUAGCGACCACAUCUAUCCAGUGUGACGUUUCUGGGAAGGAGAACUCAGUCAUUGGCUUGUACUGCCUCCCUCCAUCUUCCACUAAGGAGAAUGCUCAUGUGUUGUGGGUACCCUAACUUGAGAAGUCUGCUAUGUCCUGUUUCACCUCCUUGUUGGAAGGAACCAUAGCUUGUAUCUGGUGGAGAAACAUCUAGAGUACCCAUUGCUGUUAUCCACUAUUUUCCACACUGGAGAUACCUUCACGUGUGUGUGUGUGUGUGUGUGUGUGUGUGUGUGUUGGGGAAUGGUGGGGUGGUGGAGAUGAUGUAGAGAUGGUCAGUUGAUUGCCAGAAUGUGGGUUUAGGGGCAGAGACACAACCAACUCCAUCUAAGGACUCCCAGGAAGCCUCCCAUCUGGAAGACAGAACUGUAUCUUGCAGAACAGUUACAUCUGCCAGCCAGAUGAUCUGUACCUGUAAAAACUUCCCACAUCAAGCCUUGUGGAGCUAAUGCGUCUUACAGAGCCUGCUGACAGCAGGAAAAUGAUCCCAGAACUACAUUUCCCAAAGGACUCUGAGAUUCUUGCCCUUGAGAACACAGCAGGGAAUUUGAUGUUGUCCACUGACAUCCCGGGAAGGACUGGUUACAGUGGGAGAGGGCCAGGAUGAACAAGGUGAGGGAUUAGGGAACAAAAGCAGAUUUUCAAAGAGGAUUUCCCUGCCUCUUUCAUAACAAAAAUCCCUACCGUUCACUGAGUGCCCCCAACAUGCCAGGCCUCUCACAGACAUUUACUGCAUUUAAUUCUCACAAUCCUGCAGAAUACAUAUACAUUCCUCAUUUUUACAGGGUAACAAACUGCAGCUCCAAGAAGGCAAGUAGGUUUUCCAAGAUCACAGCAUUGCCACAUGCCUGCUGCUUAAUGUCUAAGUGAAACAAUCUUCCAGAUUCCAGGAGAUCAAUAUGGGGAAGGCCUGUUAAAUUGAGCUCAAAGAAAGUCAACUCUAAACCUCAGUUUUGGCCCUCUUGGAACUGAUAGUCUAGAGAAAAAGAAAGGCUAAGAGCAGAGGUCCUGAAAGUAACACGAGAGGUUUUUUUUUCUUUCUUUUUUCAUAAACACGCCAAAGCUUGACUGUCCCAC